GGGCUAUGACUUUGGGAACUUUAUCUGUCCCUGACCCCUUCAGAACAAACUCUUUCACCUGCUGUGCUCUCUGGUCAUCAUGAGGUAAACAGCUUUCCUCUCCCAAGCCCUUCUGCCUUGUUUCUGCCUUGCCUUAGGCCUAAAAGCAAUGGAGCUGGCCAGCCAUGAAUUGAAGCUUCUUGAAACUAAUUCCCAGAUUUCUUCAGCCACAGAGAUUCAGAAGCCUUAAAUAUUUUGGUGAAAUUUAUUCCUGAAUCACCACAGGAGCUAAAAGCAAUACUUUCUGACAAGCAGUCAUUAUUGAGGACACUACAACAUCCAAAAGACAGGGGAAUUUUACUUGAUAUGUUUGUCAAACGUUGUUGUAAAUUUAAUUGUGUCAAACAAGCUAAGAUGUUAAUUGUAAUUUCUAAUCCACUUAUGUAAUCUUCAUUUCUAAUCUUGAAUAUACUGUCACUGAUGUCCCGGUCAGUCACUACUGAUUAUUAAAAUCAUG
rnacentral:lncRNA from 1 species